rnacentral:ncRNA from 1 species
AUCAGACCAAAAAAACGGGCUGCGUCUUCGGGCGCGUUCGCCUUGGUGACUCUGGAUAACUUUGCGGAUCGCACGGUCUAGCACCGGCGACGGAUCAUUCAAGUGUCUGCCCUAUCAACUUUCGUCGGUACGGUAUUUGCCUACCGAGGUUCUUACGGGUGACGGGGAAUCAGGGUUCGAUUCCGGAGAGGGAGCCUGAGAAACGGCUACCACAUCCAAGGAAGGCAGCAGGCGCGCAAAUUACCCAUUCCCGACGCGGGGAGGUAGUGACGAAAAAUAACAAUGCAGGACUCGUUCGAGGCCCUGUAAUUGGAAUGAGUACACUUUAAAAGCUUUAACGAGUAUCCAUUGGAGGGCAAGUCUGGUGCCAGCAGCCGCGGUAAUUCCAGCUCCAAAAGUAUAUAUUUAAGUUGUUGCGGUUAAAAAGCUCGUAGUUGGAUUUUGGGCGCAGGCGGCCGGUCCGUCGCAAGGCGUGUACUGGACGUCCUGGCCUUCCCUCCGGUUCUCCGCCGGUGCUCUUGACUGAGUGUCGGCGGCGGCCGGAACGUUUACUUUGAAAAAAUUAGAGUGUUCAAAGCAGGCUCUCGAGCCUGGAUAAUGGUGCAUGGAAUAAUGGAAUAGGACCUCGGUUCUAUUUUGUUGGUUUUCGGAGCGCGAGGUAAUGAUUAAGAGGGACAGACGGGGGCAUUCGUACUGUGCCGUUAGAGGUGA